rnacentral:rRNA from 1 species
UACGUAUGGUGCAAGCGUUGUUCGGAAUCACUGGGCGUAAAGCGCGCGCAGGCGGAUUGUUAAGUUGGAUGUGAAAUCUUGGGGCUCAACCCUGAGGCUGCAUCCAAAACUGGCGAUCUGGAGUCUCGGAGAGGUAGGCGGAAUAUCUGGUGUAGCGGUGAAAUGCGUAGAUAUCAGAUGGAACACCGAUGGCGAAGGCAGCCUACUGGACGAUGACUGACGCUCAGGCGCGAAAGCGUGGGGAGCAAACAGGAUUAGAUACCCUGGUAGUCCACGCCCUAAACGUUGUCGACCAGACGUCGGGGGAGUCAACCCCCCCGGUGUCGAACCUAACGGAUUAAGUCGACCGCCUGGGGACUAUGCUCGCAAGAGUGAA